rnacentral:rRNA from 1 species
AGCGAACGCUGGCGGCAGGCCUAACACAAGCAAGUCGAACGAAGUCUUCGGACUUAGUGGCGGACGGGUGAGUAACACGUGGGAACGUGCCUUUAGGUUCGGAAUAACUCAGGGAAACUUGUGCUAAUACCGAAUGUGCCCUUCGGGGGAAAGAUUUAUCGCCUUUAGAGCGGCCCGCGUCUGAUUAGCUAGUUGGUGAGGUAAAGGCUCACCAAGGCGACGAUCAGUAGCUGGUCUGAGAGGAUGAUCAGCCACAUUGGGACUGAGACACGGCCCAAACUCCUACGGGAGGCAGCAGUGGGGAAUCUUGCGCAAUGGGCGAAAGCCUGACGCAGCCAUGCCGCGUGAAUGAUGAAGGUCUUAGGAUUGUAAAAUUCUUUCACCGGGGACGAUAAUGACGGUACCCGGAGAAGAAGCCCCGGCUAACUUCGUGCCAGCCGCCGCCGUAA